rnacentral:rRNA from 1 species
CAAAUGAAUUGACGGGGCCCGCACAAGCAGCGGAGCAUGUGGUUAAUUCGAAGCAACGCGAAGAACCUUACCAGGUCUUGACAUCCCUGACAACCCGAGAGGUCGGGCGUUCCCCUUCGGGGGACAGGGUGACAGGUGGUGCAUGGUUGUCGUCAGCUCGUGUCGUGAGAUGUUGGGUUAAGUCCCGCAACGAGCGCAACCCUCGACCUUAGUUGCCAGCAUUCAGUUGGGCACUCUAAGGUGACUGCCGGCUAAAAGUCGGAGGAAGGUGGGGAUGACGUCAAAUCAUCAUGCCCCUUAUGACCUGGGCUACACACGUGCUACAAUGGGCGGUACAAAGAGAAGCAACCUCGCGAGGGUGAGCAAAUCUCAAAAAGCCGUUCUCAGUUCGGAUUGAAGUCUGCAACUCGACUUCAUGAAGUCGGAAUCGCUAGUAAUCGCGGAUCAGCAUGCCGCGGUGAAUACGUUCCCGGGCCUU